UCUCGAUAUCCUGACCUCGUGAUCUGUCUUCCUCAGCCUCCCAAAGUGCUGGGAUUACAGGUGUGAGCCACCGUGCCCAGCCUGUCAGGCACUAUUCUAACAGUAUAAACACACCACACACACACUGCUAGAUAUAUUCAAUCAUCAUUACAGUUUUUGAUAUAGCUAUUGUUAUUUCUACUUUAUGGAUGAGGCAACCGAGGCACAAAGAGGACAAGUCACUUAUCUGUGGUCACAUAGUUAGUAAAGAGCAGAAACAAAAUUUGAACCCACAAGACUGGCUCAUUGUCUAGGCCCUUAUGACACUGAUGUACUUUAAGUGGAAAUUUCCCCAAGGCAGAGAGCUCAUUGCCUGAGAUUCAUGUUGAGGGGUAAAUGACUAAUACAAGAUUCUUCUCAAAGAGGAGACAGGAAUGCAGGGCAUGCAGGUAAAAGCAGAAUUCAGGAACCAGGAAAACAAGAAGUGCUGUAAUGUAAUACAACCCUCUAUUCUGUUAUGACUCAGCAGAAUCACAAGAUUUGAGCUCUGGAGGUGUUUUCUGUCCAUCAAACAAACGAAGCCCACUCCACCAAGGGAUAUUAGAAAGUGGCAUAAGUGGAGAUCUCCUGGAAGGAGGAAUAUAUCACACCGGCCACCCAUCCUGGAGAUGCUGGCAUACCCUCCUGUACUGGGCACACCUUCACUGUCCACACGCACUGUCAUUUCCACACCUUCUAACUGGGCCAUGUUGCUGUCCCUGAGGAAAAUAGAGAGGAGGUUGUAAUCAAUGCAUUCCUAGACUGCGAACUCUUUCAAUGUUGACUGCAGCUCUGCCAUCUACAUAACCUGAGGAAAGGAAGAGGACUAUGCGCAGACUGACAAGAGCAGUCCCAUUUGUAUUAAUACAAGGAAUGGUCAGUCCUCAUCUGGAAUGACUUAGGACUGAUAGAUGUGCAUUUACACCACUACAUUGAUUGGAGGAAAGAAAGGACAUUGAUUGGAAGGACCCACUGGCAUUGCGGAGGAAUGGCCUUACAAAAUGAGAUGGUCAUGACCAUCCCUGGAGAAUCUGACAUAUGGAGUGAAGACUGUAGAGAGGAUGUGCUGACUGCUCUAAGUGUCAUCAAUGAGGGUACACAGAAUAAAAGAAUGUCUGCCACUAGCACUACCCCUUGGGUGCUAUAGACCAAAGGUGGCAUCAUGACUAGAAUCCAAAUGGCAAGAGCCAAUUAAUAUGCCCACACACAGAACUUAAAACCAAGGGUUGGCAAUAGACCAUGCACAGUUCAGAGCCCUUAACUUGUACUCUGUUGGAGGUCAGUGAGAGUUGCCCUGAGACACCAUGAGACUGGUGACCCAGUAUCAUGGGAUCCCAUGAAAUAAAUACUGCUCAGGUCAGCAAAAGCAAUCUCCAUGCCAGGCCAUACUUCUGGAAAUGGAGGCCCAGAUGACCUCAUAGGUGAAACUCCUAGAGCUCUGCAUUGUAUCUGGUCAACCCCAUAUGCAUGGUAGAGGGCUUGAGAGCUCUCUUACGGGGACAAAUGGAGCUUCUGGGUUAUAUGGAUCCUGGUCUAGAUUUGGGGUCCCCUGCCUGGAUAGCACUGCCAGCCCUGGCCAGUUGUAGGUACUGGAAGGGUACAUAAAAAUUUUUAAGGAACCCUUUUCCUUCCUACCCUCCACAAGGCAGUACCCAAGGCAGGGGCUUUACCUGCUUGCAUCUAAUGGUGGUACUACUUAUUAUCAUUCUUGUUUUACAGAUGAGCAAACUGAGAUAGGAAGAAAUUAAGUAAUUUUUCCAAAGUUAAACUACUAGUAAGUAGCAAGAUAUACAAUCAUAGAAUCUAGUUCCUGUACUCAUAACCAAUAUACUACAUGGUCUCUGAAGUACUGUAGUAUAUAUGAAAGAACUUUUUGAGAAUGAAAAAUGUUAUUUCUCAAAUUUCAUAAAAUACAGAAGUGCUUCAAAAAAUGCAUUCUAGUUAUAAACGUAAAGAGCUGUGAAGGCCAAUUAUUACAUAUAAAAAUACCAUGAACCCCCACCAGUCAUUUAACCAAUUAAAAAUAAACACUGCAGGAAAUAUAUGGGGAGAAAGAUGUAGUAGGAAGAGAGUUCUGGCAGCAAAAACCAUGAGCUUUCAUGCAAGGCAGGAUACUCUGCUUUACUUAUGGCUGAGACCUUGAUCAAGAAGACUUAGAAUAAGACUGAAGACUGUGAUUUACAUGGUCAGAAAAGAGCUACAGAGCAGCUGGAUAUUGAUAUCAUUCUUCUUGCUUAAUGAGGGAGACGAAGAAUAAGUUAGAGGUUUUUAGAAACACAUCACAAAGGAAACUUCCAUGGUAGAAUCUGGCCUGAACUCAGCAACAGACCGACUGUGUCAAUUGAUCUAGAGGCAGUUUCAUGAAGUGUCAGAGUAGCAGCAACAAUUUGCUCCUAACAUUAGAGACCUCAUUCGUAUGCUUAAAAGAGCUACUGAUGAAGAAGUUGUGAUUCCGAUAGUGAUGGAGAAACUAAAUCUCACAUAAAUAAAAAUUAUAAGCCUUUGAAAAAAAUAUUUAAAAACUUUUUGAAGGCACUAAAAACAUAAAUGAAGUUAAAGGGAAUAUGAGCAGUAAAAGGAAGGAAAUGCAUAGAAUAAGUUCUACAUUUAUAACACUUUUCCAUAAAGGCUCUUUCCAGUCUACAUAAUGGGGAUGGCUAAAAUUUAUAUACAAAUCUACAGUCUUAUUGGCUUGAGGUAUCAGAGAACGCAAUUUGGGCUGUCAGAAAGGGUGAAAUUGAGAAAGAAGUCCUGAAAAGGGAGAAACAAAGGGAAAAAUCACAAAUUUGCACAUAAACUUUUCUCAAAUAUCUGUCUGCUACAAAAGCUACAUGUGUGCAAAGAAGACGACAAGGAGCACAGCAAAAAAGCACUGAUUGGAUGACUUCAAAAGCUAAGCAGACAUUUUAGCUAGUGUCCACCACAAGGAUUAUGGAGUUUGGAGUUUGAAUGCUGACAAGGUAGAAGGCCUUAAGUGUAAAGAUUAUGGUUCUAGGAUUGGGAUUAAGGGGAACAUUAAAAUAGAUCCUGACAUAGUUUGGAUCUGUGUCCAUGUUGAAUUGUAAUCCCCAGUGUUGCAGGUGGGGCCUGGUGGGAGGUGAUUGGAUUAUGGGGGUGGAUUUCUCUGUUGGUGCUGUUCUUGUGAUAGUGAGUGAGUGAGCUACCAUAGUAGCUUCAUUGCUUAUUGUGUUUUAUCCUGAUUCUCACAUCUGACUCUAGCCCUCUCAUGUUUUCACAGAACGUGCAACAUGGCACCUCCUAUUGCCAUGAAAGUAAGAGCAUGUCAGUUUAAAAUAAUCAUUUUAUCCCCAGAGUGAGCAUAGUGCCUGGCUUCUAAUAGUUAUUCAAUAAAUUAUCUCAAAACAAUUAAAUGAAUGAGUGUUUUGCCCUAGAUGUGUCUAAUCACUGCUCCCAUACAUUCUAUUCUAUGUCUAUUGCCUAGCCUACAUUCCCUCUACUUCUUUACACCUUAUUCAUCCUUUAUAGCCAGACUCAAGUGUUAACCCCUCUGUGAGUUUUUCCCAGAUGAUAAUUCUGGUCUCUCCCUUCUCUGAACAUAUAUUUAACUUUCAGUGAGAUCAUUACUCAUUACAGAGGUAGGAGGCAGGGCUGGACUCUGGAGGCGGGGCUUGGGCACUGGACCAGAUUAAAGACUAACUGAAACAGGGAAGAGGCAAAAGUGCCUCUUCAUAAGACACACCCACCAAUGCCAUGUCAGUUUGCUGUUGCCAUGGCAAAACCCAAAAUUUAUUGCUCCUUUAUCAUGGUAAUGGCCUGAUGAUCUGAAAGUUACCACCCUUUUUCUAGAAAUAUCUAGAAAUAUCUGCAUAAUCUGCUCCUUAAUUUGCAUGUAAUUAAAAGUGGGUAUAAAUAUGACAGCAGAACUGCCUCUGAGCUGCUAUUCUGGGCACACUGCCUAUGGAGUAUCCCUGUUCCACAAGGUUCAGUACCUCUGCUGCUGCUGUACAUGGCUGCUUCAAUAAAAGUUGCUGUUUAACACCAUGAGUUCACCCUUGCAUUCUUUUUUGGGUGAAGCCAAGAACCCUCCUGGGAUAGGCCAGCCUCAAUUUUGGGGUUUGCCUACCCUGCAUCAUCUAGCAACCACAAAGGGAUGAAGACAGCAAGUGGAGG
rnacentral:lncRNA from 1 species